CUACCCACCACUGGCACAGAUUGUUCGAGUUUAUAAUACAUGAUUCCUCCAUUGUGGACAACCACCUACUUUCUCACCAAAGCUGCAUACUUCCCACAAUGUUAUUUAUAAACCUGUGCUUUUCUUUAGGUCUAGUUAUCUAUCUUGGUUAUGGUGUUAAGAAUAGCAAAGUGAAUCCACUGAAUGCCAGGACUGCAGAUAUAGAACUGAGUCAAAAUCCUCCACUUUUGACAUGAAUUGUUAGUAAUUACAGUAGUAUUAUUUUUCCAAUUGGAGAAAUGCAAUUUUAUCAAGCAGCCUACUGUGGGCAAAAUAUUAAGGCAAAUAUUAUAGUUAUUGGCAAACAACUAUAAUACAUAUUAUAAUAUAUAUUACAUAAUACAUAUAUAAUAAUACAUAUUAUAUUACAUAUACAUAUUAUUAUUAUUAUUAUUAACUAUAUUAUACAUAUUGUAGUUUAUUAAUUAUUACACACUAUAUUGGAGAAUACCCUAAUUUUUAUAUUAUUUCAAUACAGAUAAUGCAUGUAUUUAUUUAAUUGGAAAAUGAAACAGCUUUUUGUCUCUUGACUUGUGUUUUCCAUUUCAUUAAUCAUAUCUAUCUUAAUUGCUCCAUUUGACAAGUUUUCAAACUGCAAAUGAUUGGCCAAACGUUUUAUACAAAUACUUAAUAAUACUACUAGUAGUUUACUACAUAAGCAGAGAAAAAUGAUAUAAUUAUUCUAUGAAAUGUUACUAAUGCUUUGUAAAACUACAAUUUAUGCAUCUACAAAUAUCAUUUCUCGUGUGAUUUCAUACUGUAUACAAACUUGCUCUGUGCAAUUAAUUAAUUUAACACUAUUAAAAACAAUUCAACAUUGAAACAAAACUACCAUUCAUACACCCAAACAUAACUAUGUACAUAGGCUUUCUUAGGCAUCUGGCACCGUGUUCAUAGAAGCCCACUGCUUCUUUUUUCCUGGAAAAGUGUCAGUGGGGUUGCCUUCUACCUUUAAGUAUGCUGGAAAUCGAUCAGGACAUCCAUAUUCCUGGGUGUGUAUUUCAUAAUUUCCAUAAUUUUUUUUUUAUAUUCACCACCAAGCAUUAUCAAUUGAAACGAGUCUCUGAACAAGAUAGGGUCGUCCAGAAAAAAUUUACAUGCAACAAACUUGAGUAUAACUUGCAUUGAUAUCUAGUGUGCAAAGUAGGGUAUUAAAACUUGAUGAGAUCUUGUGCAUGCAAAAACAAUUUGGCAGCGUGUAAUGUGUGCAAAUGGACAGGUAUUAGGAUUUCUGUUAUCCUUGUUACAGAUUAAGUUUAUUUUCAUUGGAAACAAUAUUAGUGAAUCUGA